CUUGAGAAAGGUUAUGGUUCAAUUUGAGACUGGUUAAACAAGGCUGUAAAAUUCAUGACAAGGUUAUGAAGUUUGUGCCAGUACCAGAGAUGAUAGUGGCUUCUCCAGAACAGCUACUUUCCUACAACCACCGGGUUUUUGGGCUGGAGGGCAUUGCAGAGGCGGCAAGGGUGAGGCACAGUCACACAGCAAGGAAACUGGCCCCUCCAUCCACCAAGUCUACACUGUCCAUCAAGUUCACAUUUUUUGCCACAUGCACCAAUUAGGGUGCAGUGGAAUUUGACUUACCAUGCAGUCAUACAACAAAAGAGCACAAUACACAAUAGAAUAUAACAUGAACAUCCACCACAGUGGAAUCAACAUUCUUCACUGUGGUGGAAAGCAAUAACUUUCAGUCAGUCCUCAUCGUUUGUUCAUCCCAAAGGGCCUGUUC